ACGUUACCAAUCUAAAUUUCUCUUAUCGUAGCGCUUGCGUAUCACAAUGUGGUCGUGAUGCGUUCGAGACAGAUCCUGUGUGUGUGUACAUCAUGUUGAAUUUGUGACAAUCGCAAGUUAAAACCAGAAUGAAGUUUCGUCAAGUACUUGCUGUCUUGGUUUUUCUGUGGGCUGAUUUCGUGAUCACCAGAGGCUGCGGCACUACCACACACAUAGAAAUAGGGCACAGAGCAACAGAAUAUUUUGAAGAUGAUUCAGGCGGCGUGGAUUACAAAAAGCUUAUCUUAGACAACCAGGAUGCAUUUCAAGGAGGAAAUCCAUACCCGGAUGCUUUUUACCCCAAUAUAUGCCAAGGAGGUAAAUUUCACCAAGUGUCAGAGGACACACACUGGGUACCUUUUCUCAAUGCAACCAUCAACUACAUCAGGAGGGUCUAUCCUAAACCGUGGGACAAGGAGACAGAGAAGUUGGUUGUAUUCAUGCUGGGCUUCACCUCGCAUCAGGUCGCUGAUGUGUCUUGGCACAGUCUCGGCAUCGACCAAGGAUUUCUGACUACCAUGGGAGAUGUGAAUUUCCAUGGCAAUUACGGCAAUGCCCACUCUGUCGGAGAUAUCGGUGGAGACAUAGUUGGGACCUUUGAAUUCAACCUAUCCUAUAUAGACACCCUGUCGGAAUGGUACAUACCCACUAAAGAUCUCGUUGUAAUUUACAAAGAGCUGUAUGGACGUGACAUUGUCGAAAGCAGUCUGAUUGAAGAAUGCACUGCACUUUUAUUCCUCGAAAGACUUGGUGAAAAACUAGCCAUCUCAAAGUUGUUUCCAGAUUAUGCCAGGAAGUCCCCUUUUCUGGUCGAGCAGUUCCAGUCCUACUUUUUAGGCGGUCUAGAUGACAUGGCGACGUGGACCACCAAUGUUUGGCAUGAAGCCAUCUACAUGCUCGACAAAGGCACAGGUGCUUGUAGUCUACCCAGAAAUCCCAUCUACCUCAACUGUACCCAGAAUGCCACAGUGGCCAAUACACCGUCAUCAGAUGCUGAUGCUUCAAAACUUUCUGGGCUUCACACCAAAGUUGACCUCCAGGGGUUGACCCCUGACCUGGUUCACAGGCGGCAGACAACGAGGGGUGUGUACUUUUCACCGGCUGAAACACUGAAGAGAAAAAUUCAGACUCUUAUCCAAAAGAGAACCACAGCACUGAAAGCAUUGCAGUCACGUUCCAAUUCCACCAAUCUGAGGUCUUCAUCAUAUCUGAAGUCCACUUUCACAACGGCAAAUUCCUACGCCCAUCUGGGAUGGUCGAUUCUCACGGCCGACAUCAAUGCAGACAAGAUGGACGAUCUGAUCAUCGGGGCACCAGGUUACAGUUUGGCUGGUAACCCACAGAAUGGACGGGUCUUUGUUGUGUUCGGCCAAGAAGGCGGCUUACCAGAGCAGCUUGAUCUAGACACAAUGGCAAAUCUGACGCUGUCGGUAACUAAUAUGAAAAACAGUCAUUUUGGAACUGCCAUUGCGGUUCUCGACUUCAAUCAAGAUGGCUUGGAAGAUCUUGCCGUGAGUGCGCCCUCCACUGGCUCUGCGAGUCUCAAUUAUACAGGUGCAGUGUUUGUAUAUUUAGCCAAAUCUGCGGGGGUGUUCUACCCAACGCCAAAUGUUAGUGUGGUGUGCAAGUCAAAGUAUUGCAACCUUGGCUGGUCACUAGGAACGGCCGACCUGAACCAAGAUGGCUACCUUGACCUCAUCAUUGGGUCACCGUUUGUUGGCAACAGGCAAGGUCAACAGCAGAGUGGUGCCUUGUGGGCCGUGUACUCCAAGAAGAUAAAACCUGGAAGAAGACUUCUAUCUGUGGAAACCAACGGGACACUUUUACUUGAAGGAGAACAGCAAUAUGGUUGGCUUGGGUACAAUCUAAUGAUCGAGCCUAAAAUGCAAGGUCAAGGGUCGUGGCUUCUAGUCUCCCAACCAGCGGUACGCAUAUGUACCAGUCCUGACUGCGAGUUUUCGCCUGACGACAUCCAAAGUGUAGGUCGGCUUUUGGUCUAUGACACCAAGGAUUUAACCAAACCGGUUCGGAAUAUUACAGGACAGAAAGCAUUUGGUAAACUUGGAUCAUCAUUUGGUGUGGGAGACCCUUAUGGAAACGGUGAAGAAAUGCUCGGUGUUGGAGCAGAUACUGUCAACGUCCAGGGAAAGGUUGUUGGUGUUUCAACCACAUUUACGCAGGCUGGUAACGUCAAUUUAUUCAGCCUCUCUGCUGCAAAAGAUGCUGAAAGUGUUUCUGACAGUUACAAAUUUGGACCAGCCAGCGGAUCGGAAGCCUUGUUUGAAGGGGAUCGUAGCUUGGGACGAUUCGGGGCCAGUCUGCUGAUGGAUGAUGUCACCAAUGAUGGCAUUGAUGACUUAGUAAUUGGCGCGCCAUUGCGGAUUGACGACAUCACUGAAGAACUUUAUGGAGGUGAACAAGGAGCAGUGUAUCUUUUCAAAGGUGGUAAAUCAUUAUCCAGAGGGAAUGUCACAAGAGAGUGUAAUCUCCUGCAUCGAUUUGUCGAACCGUGCACCGGAGACAAGGCAACGGCAGUGUUCUCAGUCCCAGAGUCUGGCACCAGAUUUGGUCAUCGGCUGGCUUCUUGGAAAACUGGCACGACGACACGUUUAGUCGUAACAGCUCCAAGGAGCAGUAAGCAAGGUCGACUCGCGGGGGCCGUGUUUGUCUAUUCCGGCUUCAACUGAUUCCUAUCAUCUCAUUCCUCCAUUCCAUUGCAAGAAGGCCAUGCGUGAACUUUUAUGUGGUUGUGGUAAAAACAUAGCACGAGAAGGAAAGGUUACUUCAGCGUCGGUGUUUGUAUAGGAUUCCUACAAUAGUUGAAAGCACGUCGUCGGUUAGACUUUCAUGAAGUCAUCAGCCUAUAUGGCUUUCCAUGCGUGAUUCGGG
rnacentral:misc_RNA from 1 species